rnacentral:rRNA from 1 species
AUUGAACGCUGGCGGCAGGCCUAACACAUGCAAGUCGAACGGUAACAGGAAGAAGCUUGCUUCUUUGCUGACGAGUGGCGGACGGGUGAGUAAUGUCUGGGACACUGCCUGAUGGAGGGGGAUAACUACUGGAAACGGUAGCUAAUACCGCAUAACGUCGCAAGACCAACGUGGGGGACCUUCGGGCCUCUUGCCAUCGGAUGUGCCCAGAUGGGAUUAGCUAGUAGGUGGGGUAACGGCUCACCUAGGCGACGAUCCCUAGCUGGUCUGAGAGGAUGACCAGCCACACUGGAACUGAGACGCGGUCCAGACGCCUACGGGAGGCAGCAGUGGGGAAUAUUGCACGAUGGGCGAAAGCCUGAUGGAGGCAAGCCGCGUGUAUGAAGAAGGCCUUCGGGUUGUAAAAUGCUUUCAGCGGAGAGGAAAGGAGUAAAGUUAAUACCUUUUCUCAUUGACGUUACCCACAGAAGAAGCACCGGCUAACUCCGUG